UUCGGUAAAAUUCCUUCCUCUUACAAAAUCCAGCUCACCCUGCACAGUCAACCUAAUUGUCACCGAAUAUAGGAGAAUGGGGAAACUAGGAUUUGCGUGUUCAAGGGCGGACAAGCCAGUCCAAACAGGCAUUCCAGUCAUUGGGUGGGUGACAGCCAAAGAAGAUCCACCUGGUCACAUCCCAAUUUCCCCAGGGCAUCCGAAGCAGGUCUGAGCAGCCAAGGAUAACUACUUAGUCUCCUGCUAGAAAAUAUCUCAGUUGUUAUCCCCACUUUAUAGAUGGUCAACUUACUUUAUCUAUCUGAUGAUUGGCUCCUACAGCCAGUAAGUGGUGAAGCUGAGAUGUAAUUCCAAGGCUGCUGAUCUCCAAAGCCAGUUGUCUUUCCAAAUAUUAGAAUAUACUAGUGUCUGUGGUCUGUUAAAAAAAAUGAUGACAGUGCCUUUUUAAAUAAAAUUUAAAGCAUGUACAUGAAAAAUACUAAA
ensembl:lncRNA novel transcript